UACGUAGGGUGCAAGCGUUAAUCGGAAUUACUGGGCGUAAAGCGUGCGCAGGCGGUUUUGUAAGUCUGACGUGAAUGCCCCGGGCUCAACCUGGGAAUUGCGUUGGAGACUGCAAGGCUUGAAUCUGGCAGAGGGGGGUAGAAUUCCACGUGUAGCAGUGAAAUGCGUAGAGAUGUGGAGGAACACCGAUGGCGAAGGCAGCCCCCUGGGUCAAGAUUGACGCUCAUGCACGAAAGCGUGGGGAGCAAACAGG
rnacentral:rRNA from 1 species